rnacentral:rRNA from 1 species
GACAUACUAAAAAGCUUUAAGAGAUUAGAGUGUGCUAGCUUGCUAGAAUUUAGAUACAGGUGCUGCACGGCUGUCGUCAGCUCGUGUCGUGAGAUGUUGGGUUAAGUCCCGCAACGAGCGCAACCCUCGUGUUUAGUUGCUAACAGUUCGGCUGAGAACUCUAAACAGACUGCCUACGCAAGUAGGAGGAAGGUGAGGACGACGUCAAGUCAUCAUGGCCCUUACGGCCAGGGCUACACACGUGCUACAAUGGGGUAUACAAAGAGCAGCGAUACGGUGACGUGGAGCAAAUCUAGAAAAUGCCUCUCAGUUCGGAUUGUAGUCUGCAACUCGACUACAUGAAGUUGGAAUCGCUAGUAAUCGUAGAUCAGCAAUGCUACGGUGAAUACGUUCCCGGGUCUU